rnacentral:rRNA from 1 species
CAGUGGGGAAUUUUGGACAAUGGGCGAAAGCCUGAUCCAGCAAUGCCGCGUGAGUGAAGAAGGCCUUCGGGUUGUAAAGCUCUUUUGUCAGGGAAGAAACGGUGAGAGCUAAUAUCUCUUGCUAAUGACGGUACCUGAAGAAUAAGCACCGGCUAACUACGUGCCAGCAGCCGCGGUAAUACGUAGGGUGCAAGCGUUAAUCGGAAUUACUGGGCGUAAAGCGUGCGCAGGCGGUUUUGUAAGUCUGAUGUGAAAUCCCCGGGCUCAACCUGGGAAUUGCAUUGGAGACUGCAAGGCUAGAAUCUGGCAGAGGGGGGUAGAAUUCCACGUGUAGCAGUGAAAUGCGUAGAUAUGUGGAGGAACACCGAUGGCGAAGGCAGCCCCCUGGGUCAAGAUUGACGCUCAUGCACGAAAGCGUGGGGAGCAAACAGGAUUAGAUACCCUGGUAGUCCACGCCCUAAACGAUGUCUACUAGUUGUCGGGUCUUAAUUGACUUGGU